GAUGAACGCUGGCGGCGUGCCUAAUACAUGCAAGUCGAGCGAACAGACGAGGAGCUUGCUUCUCUGACGUUAGCGGCGGACGGGUGAGUAACACGUGGAUAACCUACCUAUAAGACUGGGAUAACUUCGGGAAACCGGAGCUAAUACCGGAUAAUAUAUUGAACCGCAUGGUUCAAUAGUGAAAGACGGUUUUGCUGUCACUUAUAGAUGGAUCCGCGCCGCAUUAGCUAGUUGGUAAGGUAACGGCUUACCAAGGCAACGAUGCGUAGCCGACCUGAGAGGGUGAUCGGCCACACUGGAACUGAGACACGGUCCAGACUCCUACGGGAGGCAGCAGUAGGGAAUCUUCCGCAAUGGGCGCAAGCCUGACGGAGCAACGCCGCGUGAGUGAUGAAGGUCUUCGGAUCGUAAAACUCUGUUAUUAGGGAAGAACAAAUGUGUAAGUAACUAUGCACGUCUUGACGGUACCUAAUCAGAAAGCCACGGCUAACUACGUG
rnacentral:rRNA from 1 species